UGUUAGUGCAGUGAAUAAGGCAGUAAGCAAGCGCCUCAAGCCCUUGCCGAUGAGUCGUCAUUGACCUAGUGUGACUCUGCCGCUAUAGAUUACGCGCACUAACA
rnacentral:ncRNA from 12 species